rnacentral:rRNA from 1 species
GAUCAUGGCUCAGAUUGAACGCUGGCGGCAUGCUUUACACAUGCAAGUCGAACGGUAACAGGCCGCAAGGUGCUGACGAGUGGCGAACGGGUGAGUAAUACAUCGGAACGUGCCCGAGAGUGGGGGAUAACGGAGCGAAAGCUUUGCUAAUACCGCAUACGAUCUACGGAUGAAAGCAGGGGACCGCAAGGCCUUGCGCGGACGGAGCGGCCGAUGGCAGAUUAGGUAGUUGGUGGGAUAAAAGCUUACCAAGCCGACGAUCUGUAGCUGGUCUGAGAGGACGACCAGCCACACUGGGACUGAGACACGGCCCAGACUCCUACGGGAGGCAGCAGUGGGGAAUUUUGGACAAUGGGCGAAAGCCUGAUCCAGCCAUGCCGCGUGCAGGAUGAAGGCCUUCGGGUUGUAAACUGCUUUUGUACGGAACGAAAAGACUCUGGUUAAUACCUGGGGUCCAUGACGGUACCGUAAGAAUAAGCACCGGCUAACUACGUG